rnacentral:lncRNA from 1 species
GGCAGGAAGAACUUCUGAACGUCCCUGAGAACAUGUAUGUCAAGACCCCUGAAUAAAAGCACAGCAGCAUACAGAACCCAGGCUAAAGGGCAUAAUAAAAGGAGAACACGGUGGCUAGAAAGCACGUAAGCGGGUGAAUGCCCAAUUCGGAGGGAAGUCACUGACGUGACUUCGGGGACGUGGAACCAUGUUGAAGAUUGAACGUUGAGUGCCAUUAAAGUUCACCAAGCACCUGUUCGCAGCAGGUGAUGGGUAAGCAGAUAUAGCAAUGACUGACAAGGAAAGUCAGAGAUUAAGGGAGUGUUCAAAUAAGCAAUGACACUAAGGAGAAGCAUAAGGCAUGCUGCGAGCAGGUGACAACUGGAUUCAAGGAAGUUUGGAGGGUCCAUCAUGCUCUCCACUAAUGUCGCGCAAAACUCCACUAAGGCACCAAUACUUAAAUCGUAAUGACGGAUGAAGGGGAG